CCGAGUUCUGGAUUAG
rnacentral:rRNA from 2 species